AUCCAGCUGACGAGUCCAAAAUAGGACGUAACGAGCAUCUUGGAU
rfam:Schistosoma haematobium scaffold908_16, whole genome shotgun sequence.